rnacentral:misc_RNA from 1 species
UUGAGUUGAGUUUAGUUGAGUAUAGUAUAUAAUGGAAAAUUUUAUAGGAGAUAAAGUUAUUUUCCUUCCUCAAAAUUUGCUUGUCAUUUAGUAAGCAUGGUGCUUACUUUGUGCUCUUCUUUGUCUAAUUUUUCUAUAUAAAUGCUUGUGCUCAUACAUACUUUUAUCAAUAGUAAGAAUUUAACCCAGGAUUUCCCGCUAACUGGUAUUCUCACUGCUGCUCCGUAACAUUAUUUGUGUCCUUUUAAUCAAUCUGUGAAAUAUAUAUUUCUAGUAUUCUUUUAGUUAAUUUUACAUUUAUGACUAUACUUUUUCUCCCCUCUUCUGUCUCACUAUAGAAAAUAAUUUGGAUUUUUUUUCAAUUUCUCCUACAGGAAGCAAGUGCUAUUCCUUUUG